rnacentral:lncRNA from 1 species
AUCAUCAGACCAUUCUGAAGAGGAGGAGUUGGCACAGUUACUUCUCCUCUCUGAGCCUCGAUCUCCCUGCCGGCAAAAUGGGGAUCCUUGUCCCAGCUCCACUCACUCUAUAGGGUUCGUUUGAGGCUCAUGGUAAAUAGGCUUAGAAAUGGGCCCUCGGGCAUGUCCAGCCUGGAGUAGAGUCAAGGGUGUCCAGGGGGCCAGGCGGAGGUUCAGCCAUGGAAUGAAAAGAUCUAAAGAAGUCUGGCCAGAGGGACACUGAGAUGAGCAAUGUGGUUGGAGGAGAGGAUACUGACCCAAGAAUUCUCUGGAUAAGAAGAAGGAGGAGGGGAAGCCUGAAGUGGAUGGGUCGAGCCUCAGCUGUGGAAGAAUUGCUAAUUACAGCCACCAUAAGGAAAUAUCAAUGAUGGACGUCAAUAUUAUUGCCUCCUGCAUCCCUGCCUGUUUAUUUGGAGAUGAAAAGCGCCCUAGGGUCAUCUCUCCAGGACGAAGAUGAGUGAUGACAGAAGGGAGGAGAGCUACACAUGGAGAAAAGGGCAUCCUCCAGCUGGAUUCAUUCAUGAAACCAGGACCCAUUUCCUCUGGGCAGAGUUCUCUCCACUGAGGGCCCAGGGCUGGGGCUGAGGGCAAAGGAACCUGCACAGGGAGGAGGAACUAGUGAUCCUGCUCCCAGCCCUGGUUCACCAAGUGACUGCAUGUAUGCCUCUUUGUGCCUCAGUUAACUCAUCUGAUAAAUGGGUAUGACAAUUCC